ACAUUUGCCUCUGUGUGUGUGUGUGUGUCUCUGUGUGUGUGUAAUAUAGAUUCUCCUCGAUGUUAUGUGGAUAUCAUCAUCUCAUGUAACAACAAAGGAACUUAUUUGGUGGAUCUAAUGUGGAAGAUUCAGAUGCUGGCCUGGAAAUCUCUCUGUGUGCAUGUCACUAUCUUCCAUGAGCACCCAUGGAAGCUAUGCUUUAUGUCUAUUACUGCAGAGGCUCCCAGGUGAUUCUACUGAGAAGGCUGUGACCAAGGAAGAAUUUCAGGGCAAAUGGACUAGGCCAGCUCCUGCAUUUUCACUGCUGUUUAAGCAGAGGUGGCAGGCUGGUCAGAAGGUAUGUAGAUGCCCUCUGUAUCCAUCUAGCAGUUCUCUGCUGAAGACUGGAGUGCCCAAGCAGCCACCAAGGACUGGUCAGCAUCUCCCACAGCACAGGUCACCAAAUAGGUUGGAAUUACCACUUAGUGGUCCUAA
rnacentral:lncRNA from 1 species